rnacentral:rRNA from 1 species
AAUAGAUACCCGGGUAGUCCACGCCGUAAACGAUGGAUACUAGCUGUUCGUCCGCCUCGGCGGAUGAGUGGCUAAGCGAAAGUGAUAAGUAUCCCACCUGGGGAGUACGAACGCAAGUUUGAAACUCAAAGGAAUUGACGGGGGCCCGCACAAGCGGUGGAGCAUGUGGUUUAAUUCGAUGAUACGCGAGGAACCUUACCAAGGCUUAAAUGUAGAUUGACAGGACUGGAAACAGUUUUUUCUUCGGACAAUUUACAAGGUGCUGCAUGGUUGUCGUCAGCUCGUGCCGUGAGGUGUCAGGUUAAGUCCUAUAACGAGCGCAACCCCUGUUGUUAGUUGCCAGCGAGUGAUGUCGGGAACUCUAACAAGACUGCCAGUGUAAACUGUGAGGAAGGUGGGGAUGACGUCAAAUCAUCACGGCCCUUACGGCCUUGGGCUACACACGUGCUACAAUGGCCGGGUACAGAGAGCAGCCACUGCGCGAGCAGGAGCGAAUCUAUAAAACCGGUCACAGUUCGGAUCGGAGUCUGCAACUCG